rnacentral:tmRNA from 1 species
GGGGACGUUCCGGAUUCGACAGGGAUAGGUCGAGCUUAAGUAGCGAGCCGAGGUGACGACUCGUUAAACGUCAUUCAGUUUAUAAUAACUGGCAAACAAAACGAUUUCGCUGUAGCUGCGUAAGCAGAUACUACAGGAUCCUUCCUGCCAUCGCCCGUGUGGCAGAUAGAAGGGUCUCAAACUAAGCGGGCUACGCUGAAGGCCACCGUCUGAGGUCUUCAGAAGAGACUAAUCAGACUAGCCACUCGGAAGCCUGUCGGUAGGCUGAAGAGUCGGUGAAUGAUAAUAUACCGAAUACGCUCGUAGAAGCUUGAGUGCCGAUAUCCUUGGACGCGGGUUCGACUCCCGCCGUCUCCAUUU